GGUGGGUUGGCUCAGUGGUUAGAGCGUAGGUCUCGAAAUCGAAAGGACACGGGAUCGAAUCCCGCUAGAGGCUG
rnacentral:tRNA from 1 species